rnacentral:rRNA from 1 species
UACGGAGGGUGCAAGCGUUAUCCGGAUUCACUGGGUUUAAAGGGUGCGUAGGCGGGCAGGUAAGUCCGUGGUGAAAUCUCUGAGCUUAACUCAGAAACUGCCAUGGAUACUAUUUGUCUUGAAUAUUGUGGGAGUAAGCGGAAUAUGUCAUGUAGCGGUGAAAUGCUUAGAUAUGACAUAGAACACCAAUUGCGAAGGCAGCUUACUACACAGUUAUUGACGCUGAGGCACGAAAGCGUGGGGAUCAAACAGG